rnacentral:rRNA from 1 species
GGGCCCGCACAAGCGGUGGAGUAUGUGGUUUAAUUCGAUGCAACGCGAAGAACCUUACCAGGGUUUGACAUCCUGCGAAUCUCUUGGAAACAGGAGAGUGCCUUCGGGAACGCAGUGACAGGUGGUGCAUGGCUGUCGUCAGCUCGUGUCGUGAGAUGUUGGGUUAAGUCCCGCAACGAGCGCAACCCACGUCUUUAGUUGCCAGCAUUUAGUUGGGCACUCUAGAGAGACUGCCGGUGAUAAACCGGAGGAAGGUGUGGAUGACGUCAAGUCAUCAUGCCCCUUACAUCCUGGGCUACACACGUACUACAAUGGACGGUACAAAGGGUCGCGAAGCCGCGAGGUGGAGCCAAUCCCAAAAAGCCGUUCUCAGUUCGGAUUGGAGUCUGCAACUCGACUCCAUGAAGUCGGAAUCGCUAGUAAUCGUGGAUC